rnacentral:rRNA from 1 species
AACUGUGGGGACGCAGAAGGAGAGCACGAGCCGGAAAUGGAAAAGCCGGUACAAGCGUAUAGCAGUCAUGCAGGCAAAACCGCAUGAAAAAUGUAAAGCGUUAUGUGGAUCGAACAUUAGUAGAGAAGCGUGUGAGCCAGCUGCCAAGAAAAGCCGCUAUUGUUUCAUAAGUACCCGUACCGUAAACCGACACAGGUGGAUGAGGAGAGAAUCCUAAGGCCGGCGGGAGAAGUGUUGUUAAGGAACUCGGCAAAAUGACUCCGUAACUUCGGGAGAAGGAGUGCCACAGAGAUGUGGCCGCAGAGAAAUGGCCCAAGCAACUGUUUAGCAAAAACACAGGUCUAUGCAAAACCGAAAGGUGAGGUAUAUGGGCUGACGCCUGCCCGGUGCUGGAAGGUUAAGAGGAGAGGUUAGAGCAAUCGAAGCUUUGAAUUUAAGCCCCAGUAAACGGCGGCCGUAACUAUAACGGUCCUAAGGUAGCGAAAUUCCUUGUCGGGUGAGUUCCGACCCGCACGAAAGGCGUAAUGAUUUGGGCACUGUCUCAACAACACACCCGGUGAAAUUGAAAUACCAGUGAAGAUGCUGGUUACCUGCGCCAGGACGGAAAGACCCCAUGGAGCUUUACUCCAGUUUGAUACUGGGAUUCGGUACUGUCUGUACAGGAUAGGUGGGAGGCUAGGAAAUGGUGACGCCAGUUGCCAUGGAGCCAACCUUGGGAUACCACCCUUACAGUACUGGGUUUCUAACCUGCAGCCGUAACCCGGCUGGGGGACAAUGUCUGACGGGGAGUUUGACUGGGGCGGUCGCCUCCGAAAGAGUAUCGGAGGCGCUCAAAGGUUCCCUCAGAACGGUUGGAAACCGUUCGAAGAGUGCAAAGGCAGAAGGGAGCUUGACUGCGACACCGACGGGUGGAGCAGAUACGAAAGUAGGACUUAGUGAUCCGGUGGUAUAAAGUGGGAUUGCCAUCGCUCAACGGAUAAAAGCUACCCUGGGAUAACAGGCUUAUCACUCCCAAGAGUUCACAUCGACGGAGUGGUUUGGCACCUCGAUGUCGGCUCAUCGCAUCCUGGAGCUGUAGCAGGUUCCAAGGGUUGGGCUGUUCGCCCAUUAAAGCGGUACGCGAGCUGGGUUCAGAACGUCGUGAGACAGUUCGGUCCCUAUCCGGCGUGGGCGUAGGAUAUUUGAGAGGAGCUGUCCUUAGUACGAGAGGACCGGGAUGGACAAACCUCUGGUGUAUCUGUUGUUUUACCAAAGGCAUGGCAGAGUAGCCAAGUUUGGCAGGGAUAAACGCUGAAGGCAUCUAAGCGUGAAGCCCCCCUCAAGAUAAGAUAUCCCAUCUUCGGAGUAAGACCCCUUGAAGACUACAAGGUUGAUAGGCUUCAGGUGUAAGUGUGGUAACGCACUCAGCUGAGAAGUACUAAUAGGUCGAGGACUUACC